rnacentral:rRNA from 1 species
GAGGGAAGGAAAAGAAAUUAACUAAGAUUCCUUUAGUAGCGGCGAGCGAAACAGGAUAAGCCCAGCACUAAGCCCUCCGGUCGUCCUGGCCGGCAGGGGAUGCAGUGUAUGGAAUGUCUAUUAUCUUAUAUGACGGUAAUACGUUCAAGUCCAUCUUGAAUGGGGCUAUUUUACCCAUAGAGGGUGCCAGGCCCGUAGCAGCUAUUACCAGUAUAAGAAGAUAUUUCCAAAGAGUCGUGUUGCUUGAUAGUGCAGCACUAAGUUGGUGGUAAACUCCAUCUAAGGCUAAAUACAACCACGAGACCGAUAGCGAACAAGUACCGUGAGGGAAAGUUGAAAAGCACUCUGAAUAGAGAGUUAAAUAGUACGUGAAACCGCUUAGGGGUUAAGCCUGAUGAACCUGAAUAUCUGAAUUGAGAAAUUCAAUGCUGUUUUAGUUGCCCAUCUAAACAAUGGGUGAUCGACGGCAUGCACUUUUCUCAUAGUAGGACAUUGCGAUCCAUUAGUAGUCUCUCUGAGACGGUUUAUCAAACGGCCUGCGUAGUCAGUUUAAACUAUCUGCAAUACUUGCUAUUGUAUGUUUAAUGCUAUUGCGGUGACCUGGUAAACAGCUGAUGGAGCUUAUAAAUCAUGCUACCAUGCAAAUGUAUCACGGUCUGUUCGUAUUUAUACGGGCGGAUGCAGUGAUCGCAUGUAUUUGAUUAGCAAUGCGAUAGAUUUGGGAUACCUUCAGGACCCGUCUUGAAACACGGACCAAGAAGUCUAACAUGUGUGUAAGUCAUUGGGUAUUUUGUUGAAACCUAAAGGCGAAAUUAAAAUAACUAUUUAUGGGAUUACAAGCGGUCUAUAUGACCGUUUCUCCAUCCCGGGGCGUUCUGUAUGAACAUGGUGUGAGCAAUCAUCGCCCUCUUUCGAGAGGCGUACCU